AUUGAACGCUGGCGGCAGGCUUAACACAUGCAAGUCGAACGAUGAUUAUCUAGCUUGCUAGAUAUGAUUAGUGGCGGACGGGUGAGUAACAUUUAGGAAUCUGCCUAGUAGUGGGGGAUAGCUCGGGGAAACUCGAAUUAAUACCGCAUACGACCUACGGGUGAAAGGGGGCGCAAGCUCUUGCUAUUAGAUGAGCCUAAAUCAGAUUAGCUAGUUGGUGGGGUAAAGGCCCACCAAGGCGACGAUCUGUAACUGGUCUGAGAGGAUGAUCAUUCACACCGGAACUGAGACACGGUCCGGACUCCUACGGGAGGCAGCAGUGGGGAAUAUUGGACAAUGGGGGCAACCCUGAUCCAGCCAUGCCGCGUGUGUGAAGAAGGCCUUUUGGUUGUAAAGCACUUUAAGCAGGGAGGAGAGGCUAAUGGUUAAUACCCAUUAGAUUAGACGUUACCUGCAGAAUAAGCACCGGCUAACUCUGUGCCAGCAGCCGCGGUAAUACAGAGGGUGCGAGCGUUAAUCGGAAUUACUGGGCGUAAAGCGAGUGUAGGUGGCUCAUUAAGUCACAUGUGAAAUCCCCGGGCUUAACCUGGGAACUGCAUGUGAUACUGGUGGUGCUAGAAUAUGUGAGAGGGAAGUAGAAUUCCAGGUGUAGCGGUGAAAUGCGUAGAGAUCUGGAGGAAUACCGAUGGCGAAGGCAGCUUCCUGGCAUAAUAUUGACACUGAGAUUCGAAAGCGUGGGUAGCAAACAGGAUUAGAUACCCUGGUAGUCCACGCCGUAAACGAUGUCUACUAGCCGUUGGGGUCCUUGAGACUUUAGUGGCGCAGUUAACGCGAUAAGUAGACCGCCCGGGGAGUAUGGCCGCAAGGUUAAAACUCAAAUGAAUUGACGGGGGCCCGCACAAGCGGUGGAGCAUGUGGUUUAAUUCGAUGCAACGCGAAGAACCUUACCUGGUCUUGACAUAGUGAGAAUCCUGCAGAGAUGCGGGAGUGCCUUCGGGAAUUCACAUACAGGUGCUGCAUGGCUGUCGUCAGCUCGUGUCGUGAGAUGUUGGGUUAAGUCCCGCAACGAGCGCAACCCUUUUCCUUAUUUGCCAGCGGGUUAAGCCGGGAACUUUAAGGAUACUGCCAGUGACAAACUGGAGGAAGGCGGGGACGACGUCAAGUCAUCAUGGCCCUUACGACCAGGGCUACACACGUGCUACAAUGGUAGGUACAGGGGGUUGCUACACAGCGAUGUGAUGCUAAUCUCAAAAAGCCUAUCGUAGUCCGGAUUGGAGUCUGCAACUCGACUCCAUGAAGUCGGAAUCGCUAGUAAUCGCAGAUCAGAAUGCUGCGGUGAAUACGUUCCCGGGCCU
rnacentral:rRNA from 1 species